rnacentral:rRNA from 1 species
UGGGCGCAAGCCUGAUGGAGCAACACCGCGUGAGUGAAGUAAGGGUUUCGGCUCGUAAAGCUCUGUUGUUAAAGAAGAACACGUAUGAGAGUUAACUGUUCAUACGUUGACGGUAUUUAACCAGAAAGUCACGGCUAACUACGUGCCAGCAGCCGCGGUAAUACGUAGGUGGCAAGCGUUAUCCGGAUUUAUUGGGCGUAAAGAGAGUGCAGGCGGUUUCUAAGUCUGAUGUGAAAGCCUUCGGCUUAACCGGAGAAGUACAUCGGAAACUGGAUAACUUGAGUGCAGAAGAGGGUAGUGGAACUCCAUGUGUAGCGGUGGAAUGCGUAGAUAUAUGGAAGAACACCAGUGGCGAAGGCGGCUACCUGGUCUGCAACUGACGCUGAGACUCGAAAGCAUGGGUAGCGAACAGGAUUAGAUACCCUGGUAG